CGCUGAGGACGACCUCCCCAUAACGGGCAAUCAUUCGGGACGACCCGA
rnacentral:ncRNA from 1 species